CUCGCUGUACACAAUGUCCACGUUUCCGGGUCUGCUUCUGAACCGUAGAUCAUCUUGCCGUUGACUAGGCUUUAGACGCGUAGGAAGCCAUUUCUUGAGUACGUACGGCUUCUCGAGGGUGAGAGACUGCUGUUCAAGUUGAAGCCUCCUAAUUCACACUCUGAACAGAUACACGUGGAGUGGAAGGACAGACGACUCAUUGCCUAGCGAUGGAAGUUUUAUCAGGACUACUUGUUUCCCCCAUCUAGCGUUCUGGAACUGUGGAACUGUGUAUCUUGUCGAACUAGAGUCAGCAAAAAUUCGUCUAGCCUAUUGAACCCUUCAU